AUGAUGCUGGAAAUCGUAUCCUGACAGUACCAAAGUGCUCAUAGUGCAGGUAGUUUUUUUCAAUUGAUUCUACUGUAAUGUGGGCACUUACAGUACUCCAGGAUAAAGUGCCACCCAUGUACCG
rnacentral:pre_miRNA from 13 species